AUGGAAAGCCAUGUCAGCCCUGGGGGAGCUCACGGGCUUGGGACUCUGACGUGUGAGCGGCCGCCCCAGAGGAGGACCCCUCAGAGAGCCAGUUGCAGGAGUGGUGGUCUCGGCAUUCUGCGGCCGGGGCGCAGACGGAAGGAGCCCAGCGGGUCGGCCCCACGCAUCCCCCGGGAUCCUGCCGUGAACCAGGAGGUUGAUCAGGUCUUCCCCCACGCAGCUGACUGCUGCUCCCGAGCCUUCGGCUUCUGCCGGAAGUGAGAGCUGCCUUCGGCUCACACGGCAUCUGCAGACUGUGCCCUGAAG
rnacentral:lncRNA from 1 species